rnacentral:rRNA from 1 species
AACGAACGCUGGCGGCAGGCUUAACACAUGCAAGUCGAACGCCCCGCAAGGGGAGUGGCAGACGGGUGAGUAACGCGUGGGAACAUACCCAUCACUACGGAAUAACUCAGGGAAACUUGUGCUAAUACCGUAUACGACCGAGAGGUGAAAGAUUUAUCGGUGAUGGAUUGGCCCGCGUUGGAUUAGCUAGUUGGUGGGGUAAAGGCCUACCAAGGCGACGAUCCAUAGCUGGUCUGAGAGGAUGAUCAGCCACAUUGGGACUGAGACACGGCCCAAACUCCUACGGGAGGCAGCAGUGGGGAAUAUUGGACAAUGGGCGCAAGCCUGAUCCAGCCAUGCCGCGUGAGUGAUGAAGGCCUUAGGGUUGUAAAGCUCUUUCACCGGAGAAGAUAAUGACGGUAUCCGGAGAAGAAGCCCCGGCUAACUUCAUGCCAGCCGCCGCAGUAACAC